GGUCGCGUCGUCUAGCGGUUAGGACAUAGGAUUUUGAUAGCACAAUGUUAAGAUCUUCCUGGAGCCUGGGUUCGAUUCCCAGCGUGACCU